CUACGGGUGGCUGCAGUGGGGAAUAUUGCACAAUGGAGGAAACUCUGAUGCAGCAACGCCGCGUGGAGGAUGACACAUUUCGGUGCGUAAACUCCUUUUAUGUGAGAAGAUAAUGACGGUAUCACAUGAAUAAGCACCGGCUAACUCCGUGCCAGCAGCCGCGGUAAUACGGAGGGUGCAAGCGUUACUCGGAAUCACUGGGCGUAAAGCGCGCGCAGGCGGCUUAGUAAGUUGGAUGUGAAAUCCUAUGGCUUAACCAUAGAACUGCAUUCAAAACUGUUAAGCUAGAGUCUGGGAGGGGGAGAUGGAAUUAGUUGUGUAGGGGUAAAAUCCGUAGAGAUAACUAGGAAUACCAAAAGCGAAGGCGAUCUUCUGGAACAGUACUGACGCUGAGGCGCGAAAGCGUGGAGAGCAAACAGGAUUAGAUACCCUUGUAGUC
rnacentral:rRNA from 1 species